rfam:Geobacter bemidjiensis Bem, complete genome.
GCCGGAGUGGUGAAACUGGUAGACGCACUGGACUCAAAAUCCAGCGGGGCAACCCGUGUCGGUUCGAUUCCGACCUCCGGCA